rnacentral:rRNA from 1 species
AUUGAACGCUGGCGGCAGGCCUAACACAUGCAAGUCGAGCGGGGUUUUCGGACCUAGCGGCGGACGGGUGAGUAAUGCGUAGGAAGCUACCCGAUAGAGGGGGAUACCAGUUGGAAACGACUGUUAAUACCGCAUAAUGUCUACGGACCAAAGUGUGGGACCUUCGGGCCACAUGCUAUCGGAUGCGCCUACGUGGGAUUAGCUAGUUGGUGAGGUAAUGGCUGACCAAGGCGACGAUCCCUAGCUGGUUUGAGAGGAUGAUCAGCCACACUGGAGCUGAGACACGGUGCGGACUCCUACGGGAGGCAGCGGUGGGGAAUAUUGGACAAUGGGCGCAAGCCUGAUCCAGCCAUGCCGCGUGUGUGAAGAAGGCCUUCGGGUUGUAAAGCACUUUCAGUAGGGAGGAAGGGUUAAGUGUUAAUAGUACUUAACUUUGACGUUACCUACAGAAGAAGCACCGGCUAACUCUGUGCCAGCCGCCGCGGUAAGAC